GGCUCAGGAUGAACGCUAGCUACAGGCUUAACACAUGCAAGUCGAGGGGAAACGAUAGAGAAAGCUUGCUUUUUCUAGGCGUCGACCGGCGCACGGGUGAGUAACGCGUAUCCAACCUGCCCAUCACUUGGGGAUAACCUUGCGAAAGUAAGACUAAUACCCAAUGACGUCUCUAGAAGACAUCUGAAAGAGAUUAAAGAUUUAUCGGUGAUGGAUGGGGAUGCGUCUGAUUAGCUUGUUGGCGGGGUAACGGCCCACCAAGGCGACGAUCAGUAGGGGUUCUGAGAGGAAGGUCCCCCACAUUGGAACUGAGACACGGUCCAAACUCCUACGGGAGGCAGCAGUGAGGAAUAUUGGUCAAUGGACGAGAGUCUGAACCAGCCAAGUAGCGUGCAGGAAGACGGCCCUAUGGGUUGUAAACUGCUUUUAUAAGGGAAUAAAGUGAGUCUCGUGAGACUUUUUGCAUGUACCUUAUGAAUAAGGACCGGCUAAUUCCGUG
rnacentral:rRNA from 1 species